GAUGAACGCUGGCGGCGUGCUUAACACAUGCAAGUCGAACGAAGAUGCCGGAGUGCUUGCACUUUGGUGACUUAGUGGCGGACGGGUGAGUAACGCGUGGGUAACCUGCCCUGUACCGGGGGACAACAGUUGGAAACGACUGCUAAUACCGCAUAAGCGCACAGCAUCGCAUGAUGCAGUGUGAAAAACUCCGGUGGUACAGGAUGGACCCGCGUCUGAUUAGCUAGUUGGUGAGGUAACGGCUUACCAAGGCAACGAUCAGUAGCCGACUUGAGAGAGUGAUCGGCCACAUUGGGACUGAGACACGGCCCAAACUCCUACGGGAGGCAGCAGUGGGGAAUAUUGCACAAUGGGGGAAACCCUGAUGCAGCGACGCCGCGUGGAGGAAGAAGGUCUUCGGAUUGUAAACUCCUGUUGUUGAGGAAGAUAAUGACGGUACUCAACAAGGAAGUGACGGCUAACUACGUG
rnacentral:rRNA from 1 species